rnacentral:lncRNA from 1 species
AAAAUCUUUGGUUGAGGAUGGGUUACAUACCCCACCAUUACGUUUGGUGGUUGAAGCUUGCAAAUAAGAUAAGUCGGGAUGAAAUGUAUUAUUCAAAUUUCGUCAAGUGUUAUCUUCUUCUUCAAUUUCUUUUCUCUCUAUUGAGGGUUGUUUCUCCUCCCUCCAAUUUUCUUUUUUAGGUAGUAGGACUAAGUAUUGACUCAUUAGGUGCCGACUCCAUAAUGUGUGCA